UGCGUAGGCGGGCUAAUAAGUCAGUGGUGAAAUCUCUCGGCUCAACCGGGAAACUGCCAUUGAUACUGUUAGUCUUGAGUUCGGUUGAGGUAGGCGGAAUGUGUAAUGUAGCGGUGAAAUGCUUAGAUAUACACAGAACACCAAUUGCGUAGGCAGCUUACUAGACCGACACUGACGCUGAGGCACGAAAGCGUGGGGAGCGAACAGGAUUAGAUACCCUGGUAGUCC
rnacentral:rRNA from 1 species